UACGAAGGGUGCGAGCGUUAAUCGGAAUUACUGGGCGUAAAGCGCGCGUAGGUGGUUUGGUAAGCGAUAUGUGAAAUCCCCGGGCUUAACCUGGGAACUGCAUGUCGAACUGCCAGGCUAGAGUAUGGUAGAGGGGUGUGGAAUUUCCUGUGUAGCGGUGAAAUGCGUAGAUAUAGGAAGGAACACCGAUGGCGAAGGCAGCCCCCUGGGUCGACACUGACACUCAGACGCGAAAGCUAGGGUAGCAAACGGG
rnacentral:rRNA from 1 species